rnacentral:rRNA from 1 species
UACGGAGGGUGCAAGCGUUAAUCGGAAUUACUGGGCGUAAAGGGUGCGUAGGUGGUUUGGUAAGUUAUCUGUGAAAUCCCCGGGCUCAACCUGGGCAGGUCAGAUAAUACUGCUGAACUCGAGUAUGGGAGAGGGUAGUGGAAUUUCCGGUGUAGCGGUGAAAUGCGUAGAGAUCGGAAGGAACACCAGUGGCGAAGGCGGCUACCUGGCCUAAUACUGACACUGAGGCACGAAAGUGUGGGGAUCAAACAGG